CCUACGGGAGGCAGCAGUGAGGAAUAUUGGUCAAUGGGCGUGAGACUGAACCAGCCAAGUAGCGUGCAGGAUGACUGCCCUAUGGGUUGUAAACUUCUUUUAUGCAGGAAUAAAGUGCGGCACGUGUGACUUUUUGUAUGUACCUUAUGAAUAAGGAUCGGCUAAUUCCGUGCCAGCAGUCGCGGUAAUACGGAGGAUCCGAGCGUUAUCCGGAUUUAUUGGGUUUAAAGGGAGCGUAGACGGGUUGUUAAGUCAGUUGUGAAAGUUUGCGGCUCAACCGUGGAAUUGCAAUUGAUACUGGCAGGCUUGAGUACAGGUGAGGUAGGCGGAAUUCGUGGUGUAGCGGUGAAAUGCUUAGAUAUCACGAAGAACUCCGAUUGCGAAGGCAGCUUACUAAACUGCCACUGACGUUGAUGCUCGAAAGUGUGGGUAUCAAACAGGAUUAGAUACCCUGGUAGUC
rnacentral:rRNA from 1 species